rnacentral:rRNA from 1 species
GACGAAGGGGGCUAGCGUUGCUCGGAAUUACUGGGCGUAAAGCGCGUGUAGGCGGCUGUUCAAGUUGGGCGUGAAAGCCUUGGGCUUAACCCAAGAAAUGCGCUCAAUACUGGAUAGCUAGAGGACCGGAGAGGAUAGUGGAAUUCCCAGUGUAGUGGUGAAAUACGUAGAGAUUGGGAAGAACACCAGUGGCGAAGGCGGCUAUCUGGACGGUUCCUGACGCUAAGACGCGAAAGCGUGGGGAGCAAACAGG